CUAACUAAUGAGGGUGCAAUUAGAUGAGCCACGCUUUGGUUUAAAAACAAGCAUUCUUUUGGCCGGCAGCUCCUCCCUGGUGACACGGAAACUCAGUCGUCCCCUUUUUGUUGUUGUUUCCUUUUUUUAAUACAGCGAGAAGCCUUUGCCCGGCCCAGCAGGGCAGAGCGUCCCCCGCUCCGUUGGCUCACACUCGGCUACCUGGAGAUCGUGCUUUGCUUUUCGCAGGGGUGGCAGUGCGCUGUGAGGUCAGACGUGGCAGCGGGGCGCACGGUGACUGCCUGCCUGCAGCCUGGCUGGCUCUGCCAGCAGCACCGCUGAGCCCGCCCGGUGCUGGGGGGCUGAAUCACAGCACGGCGGGGAUGGGAAACAGCAACUGAGCGUGGAGAAAACCCGUUGUGCUCCCAAGCCCUUGAGGGGGCUUUGAGAAAUGUGUCGUAGCACAUGGCCAUCGUGCUUACUUCAUUUGCAUGUUAAUUACAAGUGUGUAUUCCUCCAGCAAACAGCAGUCCUCAUGACUUACGGUUAAAGUGCAGUAGUGUCCUCUGCUCUCAUGGUUUCUGACACGGGUGAUAUCUAUGCUGGAUUGCUGGCAGUUUAAAGGCUGCCAUUAAUCACAAACAGAUAUGAUGAGCAAAGCCCAUCAGCAGAAGCUGUGCUUUACCCAAAUACAACUCCUGGUUCCUGGGGAUUUCCUGCAUCUUUAAGGAGUUUCAUGGUUUCUCUCAAGACCAGAGCGUGAACUGGUUGCAAAGACCCUAAACAGGCUCUUCCCGUGUAUGGAGAAGGCUCCAGCCUAUGCCUGGGAAUGACUCCUAAUGAACUGCUGAAAGUUAUUCUUAAAGGCAUCAUAAGAUAAUGGUGAGUCUGCCUGGUUUGCUAAAACCCUGCCGCACAAUUUCUUUUGUGUGUU
rnacentral:lncRNA from 1 species